rnacentral:tRNA from 2 species
GCGGAAGUAGCUCAGUGGUAGAGCACAACCUUGCCAAGGUUGGGGUCGCGGGUUCGAAUCCCGUCUUCCGCUCCA